AAGGUAGCUUGCUACUGGACCUAGCGGCGGACGGGUGAGUAAUGCUUAGGAAUCUGCCUAUUAGUGGGGGACAACAUUCCGAAAGGAAUGCUAAUACCGCAUACGCCCUACGGGGGAAAGCAGGGGAUCUUCGGACCUUGCGCUAAUAGAUGAGCCUAAGUCGGAUUAGCUAGUUGGUGGGGUAAAGGCCUACCAAGGCGACGAUCUGUAGCGGGUCUGAGAGGAUGAUCCGCCACACUGGGACUGAGACACGGCCCAGACUCCUACGGGAGGCAGCAGUGGGGAAUAUUGGACAAUGGGCGGAAGCCUGAUCCAGCCAUGCCGCGUGUGAAGAAGGCCUUUUGGUUGUAAAGCACUUUAAGCGAGGAGGAGGCUCCUUUAGUUAAUACCUAAAGUGAGUGGACGUUACUCGCAGAAUAAGCACCGGCUAACUCUGUGCCAGCAGCCGCGGUAAUACAGAGGGUGCGAGCGUUAAUCGGAUUUACUGGGCGUAAAGCGUGCGUAGGCGGCUUUUUAAGUCGGAUGUGAAAUCCCUGAGCUUAACUUAGGAAUUGCAUUCGAUACUGGAAAGCUAGAGUAUGGGAGAGGAUGGUAGAAUUCCAGGUGUAGCGGUGAAAUGCGUAGAGAUCUGGAGGAAUACCGAUGGCGAAGGCAGCCAUCUGGCCUAAUACUGACGCUGAGGUACGAAAGCAUGGGGAGCAAACAGGAUUAGAUACCCUGGUAGUCCAUGCCGUAAACGAUGUCUACUAGCCGUUGGGGCCUUUGAGGCUUUAGUGGCGCAGCU
rnacentral:rRNA from 1 species